GGAAAAUAACAGAAUUCAAAUUGUCAAGUUACCUCACUUUGGACAAUGUUACUCUCGAUUCUGCUUUGUGUCUUAUGAUGAAAAAAACAUGGGCAGAAUUUUCCUAGAUAACACAGUGUGAAGCUGGAUGAACACAGCAGGCCAAGCAACAUCUCAGGAGCAAGAAAGUUUGACUUUUCAGGUCGAGAUCCUUCUUCAGAAAAUUUCUCCAGCAUCGGCAGUUCCUACUAUCUCUGUAACAGAUUUUUCCUACAUUUUUUCCUGAGUGUAAGGAUGAUUGUGUUAGGUGCUGCCCAACAGACCAUUCUCACCAGCAGGAUAGAUCAUCUCAUCAUCUACCGAUCUUGAAGAGCUGACAGUCAGGCAACAGCAAGCAUCUUGACCUGUCCUUGGCCUCAAAGAUCAGAAACUGCCAGCCAAUCAGAGCUCAGCAGUUGCUAUUUCCUGAGGUGUGCUGGUCAAGGCCUUCUCAGUAGGGAUUCAGACUUGAAAAGAACAGUACGUUAAAUGAAAGAUAUGAAGAAAACAUAAAAAGUUUUGAAAACUUAUGCUUUCAUUAAAGAAAAGACUGAAGGAAGUUGUUUUAUCCAUGAAGCUAUACAGACAUGUAAAAACUGUGCAAUGAAAGAUUGCAAUAAGUCUGUUUAAAUUCCUGGGGAAGGAUUUUACAAGUAUUUCUGUGCCUUCAGAGAUUAAUCAUAAGGUCUCCAAAUUACCUCAGUAAUAUUAUGCUAGUUAUUUUUCAGUCUACUAUUCCUAUUGUUACAGUAGUUUCAUCAUGUUUUACACAGCAUUCAAUUGUUUCCAGCUGUAAUUCAGUCCUGUUGCUACAUUCAUCCGACAGUUUCACUUUUCAAAGCAUUAUCCUGAUGGAAACUGAAUACAAUCUCAGUUUUUUAGAUGUGUCUAGUGAUUUUUCUUCCUUUGAGUCAGGAGGAAUGAUGAAAUAAUAUCCUAUCUUAGUAAAUUUGGGGAUAGUAGGAACUGCAGAUG